GACAGAGGGGGCAAGCGUUGCUCGGAAUACUGGGCGUAAAGCGUGCGCAGGCGGUGAUGUAAGACAGGUGUGAAAUCCCCGGGCUCAACCUGGGAAUUGCAUUUGUGACUGCACGGCUAGAGUGUGUCAGAGGGGGGUAGAAUUCCACGUGUAGCAGUGAAAUGCGUAGAGAUGUGGAGGAAUACCGAUGGCGAAGGCAGCCCCCUGGGAUAACACUGACGCUCAUGCACGAAAGCGUGGGGAGCAAACAGG
rnacentral:rRNA from 1 species